rnacentral:rRNA from 1 species
AGAGUCAGAGAACGUGAAAUCGCUGGAGUGGAACCGGAGACAGUUGAUGUUGCUUGGAGACAAGUUUGGUGGCUGGUCGCUUAGUUGUGAUCGUCGCCGGAUGUCGUUUCCUAUGCUACGCCGACGGCGUUGGUCGCUCGUUCUGGCCCGAUAGUGUUGCCCAGCUCGCAAGAGUCGGUGUCUUGUUAUCGGUCGUUGGUUCGUGGUGGCUAGCGUUUAGUUACGCUAGUGUGUGUGACGUCGGUGUGAAAGUCGACGACGUUUCCGACCCGUCUUGAAACACGGAUUGCGGAGUGCUUGUCUACUGCGAGUCAAAGGGUGUUAAAACCUUGCGGCGAAAUGAAAGUGAAGGUCAGUCUUGAAUUGGCCGACGUGGGAUCGGUGCUCCUCGGAGUGCUGCGCACCACGGCCCUGUGCGUGUCACUUGUGACUGUGCAGAGGUUGACCAGUUGGCAAACGACCCGAAAGAUGGUGAACUAUG